CGUUACUUAAGGCUACAAAAAAAAAUGCGCCGGGUACAAAGGGUUAAAUAAACAAUAUUCAAUAUUAAAAAAAUACAUUAUUCUAUCAUGAAUGAAACAUACUGUAAUUGUUUAACUUAUUACGAACAUUUUUGCAACAUUGAAAAUCAGCAAAAUAACUUUGCACGACGACGAUAAUAGGACUGAAUAGGACUUCAUAAAAAGGGGACAAAGAAAUUCACGACGAAGUUGUAAAGGAUAGUAGGAAACAAGAAUAAUGAUAUACUCAUUAAUUGUUAACAGAAGAUUGUUUAAUCUAUGCAAUGAAUAUGGGAUGACUAUGGCUUCUUUUUAUAAAACAAAAAAUAACAAAUUCACACUUAAAUUACUAAAAAUAAAUAAUGCGUAUGUAAAUAGUAAAUAUGAACGACUAUCCACUUGAGGAAAUAAUAAAAGUAUGAGAACGAGGACAACAUAUCAUCGAAUCGAUUGCUUCUACUAUCUUCCCGCAAAAUAUUAUAAUUGCUUUCUUUGGAAUAAAGAAUCUAGGAUUCGUUUUCUUUCUUUCAUCAGAAUGUAAUAAAACUUAAUCGUUUAACUUGUUCCUACAAAGGGUAAACGCAUCACACGCAUAGCAAAUCUCAAACUGUUGCGUUGUUGUUAUUAUUAAGAUUGUUUAGAAAGACGUAACAUUUAAAAUGCUGGACAGAAGUAGGACUUGAGGAGACUAACAAAAAGUGUAACGACAAAAUGAAGAUGCGUUUGUUUAUUAUUAACCUUAUGUAAUAUCGUUUCAAAUUUUCAAUUACAUUAUUAUAUAUAAUAAAAAUAAAAAUAAAAAUAAUAAUAAUCGCAAUAAUUGUAAUAACCGUAAUAAUGAUAAUAGUAGUAAUAGUAGUAGUGGUAGUAGUAAUAGUAGUAGUAGUAGUAGUAGUAGUAGUAGGAUAGUAGUAGUAGUAGUAGUAGUAGUAGUAGUA